rfam:Cavia porcellus supercont2_46 genomic scaffold, whole genome shotgun sequence.
GUCUACGGCCAUACCACCCUGGACGUGCCCGAUCUCCUCUGAUCUCAGAAACUAAGCAGGGUCGGGCCUGGUUAGUAUUUGGGUGGGAGAGCAUAUUAUUGGGUUUUGUUUCUUAAUCC